rnacentral:rRNA from 1 species
UACGUAGGUGACAAGCGUUAUCCGGAAUUACUGGGCGUAAAGAGUGCGUAGGUGGUGCCCUAAGUCUGUUGUGAAAUCUCCCGGCUUAACUGGGAGGGUGCGGUGGAAACUGGGGUGCUUGAGUGUGGGAGAGGUAAGCGGAAUUCCUGGUGUAGCGGUGAAAUGCGUAGAUAUCAGGAGGAACACCGGUGGUGUAGACGGCUUACUGGACCACGACUGACACUGAGGCACGAAAGCGUGGGUAGCAAACAGG